rnacentral:lncRNA from 1 species
AGUGUUUCUUACAAAUUCAUAAGCGCUAAAAUCUAUUUAAUUGAUAUAAUGAGAGGAUGAACUUUAUAAAUCAUAAAGUGAUAAAAUUAUGUCAUAUAUAUAUAUGCAAAAAGGGAAAAUAUAUAUGGAUGCAAUUGUCAAGUUUGUUAAUAUUAUCAUUAUCUUUCUUUCCUUAUUCAUUGUUGCAACGAACGCUGCAGGUAAUCCAGGUAAAAAGGAAAGUAAUUUGUUUAUCCUUUUCAAAUUUAUUUCUUUACUUCCUAUAUAAUAUGUUUAUCUAUUUUAAUUACAUUCUUUUAUUUUAAUUUUUACAGGUAAAAAAUGUUUUAGUACAUCUGAGUGUCCAAGAACUAUGUGCCCAACUUUUAUGAUGGCCCACUGUAUUAGAAAAAAAUGUCUAUGUGUUUUAAUGUAAUUAGAAGAUUAAGUUCCCACAUGAUUCCGUAGUGCCCGAUCCAAGAGCUUACACAUAGACACUACAAUAAUAUUCUAUGAGUUUUUUUUUUU